AAGUCAUAAUAUAAAAUUUUUAUAUUAUGUUGACGCAAUUAGAAAAGAAAAUGGUAAAUAUAAUUUUACCAUAUGAAAGUAAAUAAGAUACUAGUAAGUAUAUGUGGGUAAGUAAGAUAUUGUAAAUAACCAAGUUAACUAAGUUAGAGGAUGGAUGAAAAUAGUCAUGUUAUGAGAAAUAAAUGGGUUAGUUAUGUUAAAAAUGAAAGAAAGUUUGAUUAAACAAGGAAAAAAAAUGCAGAAUUUUCAUAAGUAAGUAGGUAUGUGUCGUGGGGUUGAAAGGGGAUUUAGGGUUCUCACCUAAAUCCAUCAUCAACACAAGAAUUCUGCAUAAAUUGGGGUGAUUUGAGCUGGAAAUCGAGUGCAUGAGACAUCAUCUACACUUGUCUAAGUGUCCUUGAGGUAAGGAACGUGUCAAGGAGAGCUCAAGCAUAGGAGGAUAACAGGUCAAGAUAAGGCAAGGUGACAAAUACACUUAUUGGAGUGCUCAAGGUCGCACGGACUCAACAUCAUUAUGAAGUAAAUGAGGAUUGAAGAUUGAGUCAAAGAGCGAGGAUUGUACGGGAAGGGUAGUCACAUAACUGGUGAUUUUAUAUUACAUUUGAUGCGAUAAUUAAGAAUGAACGUUGUAAAUCUUUUGAAGAAAGUGUUUGUUAUUUUUAAACGAACCUUCAAGUAAGUCAUAUGAGUAAUUAUGAAAGAAAUUUUAAGUCUCUACUUUCCGCUCUGUCUAUAUGGUUAAAUCGUGAUAUGGGUGUUUCAAGUUGGUAUCAGAGCCUAGGUUUGAGCGAAAUCAAGUACAAGGAAGUAAGUACUUGAACUCAAACCCGUGUGCUCAUGUGACUAGUAACCCGUACAAUUCGAGACUCGAUCAAGACUGGAAGGUAAAAUUUAAUACAAGUAAGUAUGUGAGAUGUUACUAACCAUGAUAAAUGUUGUAAGGUAAGCCUGCAUGGACAAUGAGGAUGUUACGCAGUCGCAGACUAGCAUGGAGAUAAGGCAAGUGCUAAGGCAAGCAAUGGACCUCAGGUACACAACUUUUAAGAAAAAUUUGUAAGUACCGGUAUUUAGUUUUCCUUUAAGGAUGAGAAUGAAACCCAAGAAGGACUUAAAUGAAUGGGGCACGAGCUGAAAACGGUUUCCCCGGAUAUAAGGUGACGAUUCCCAUGGUGACUCGAGACUAGUAUGUGGAUUGCGUACCUGGCCAGUGCGUAAGAAGCUUACGAAGCUCGAGAAAACAUGAGAAUCAUCACACAUAUGUCCGAUCAAACUAGUAAGUAGGGGUCGUGUGGGGAUGGAAAGGGGUCCAACGAUUCUUAAAGGAUCAGAUCAAAUGUAAGAAAGAAAUAUGAGAAUGAAAAGUUUAAGCUUAUGAAUGAAUGCAAACCAAACUUAAGAAAGAAGGGUAGAAACACCACUAGAAACAGAAUGUAGAGUGUCGCGUUGAGAUGCGACACAUGAAAUAGAAUGUGGAAUGUAGUGUUGGGACACAACACUCGAAGUUGAAGGUAGAAGAUGAUACGAAAACGUAUCAUAAGAAAUGAUAUGGAAAGUGAUGCGAUGAAAGAAAGAAAGGUACGGAUGAAAAAUGAUUGGAUCCGAGAAAUGGAUUCAAAAAUGAAGGGAAUGAAAGGUGUGAAUCCGUAAGUAAACACUGAUCAAACUAGAACGAAUGAAGAGUAAAGAGUGGAAGAUUUGAAUACGUAAAUAAAGAUAGAUUAAACAAGUAAGAAUGAAAGGUAGGAACAAAACUCAAACGAGUAAUAAUGGAAGGAUUGAAUCCGUAGGUGAAUACGGAUCAAGCAUGUAUGGCUAAAUAGCUUUAAAAUCCUUAAGUAUGAACUAAACUCGUGGAAGUAAAGAACCGGACCUAUAAAUAUGUAAGGAUCACGCAAGGGUGGAGGAGGAAAUGUGUUUCCUUUCCCAAGUAAGGUAGGUAUAAGCCUUGUAAAUAAGCAGUGACGGUAACCUUGACCGGUUAGAUAUGUUUCUCGACUAAAGUAAUGUAAUUGUAGUGCGUAUGUGAACACGUUUAGGAUAGACUAUAGCUAAACGAUAAAAUACAGGUAAGAAAGUAGUUACAAUUUGGAAAGUCAAAACGAGGUAUAAUCGUUUGUAUCAAAGUAAGUAGUAAUAAAUAAAAUAAAUAAAAUAAUAAUAGAAAGAAAGAGUUUGGUUCCUUGAGUAAGUAAGUAUGACCGAUGAAAACGGUUGUUAUGGCAAGCAGCUUUAGUUGUAGGAAACAAACCUUGGAUAAGUUACGUGGGAGGUAUGUUAGUAAUCGACUCAGGAGAGUCACAAUGAAUGGCGGGUUACAACCCGGAUAAAAUAUUUAAGUAUGAACGAGAAGGGCAAGUGUUUGCAAGAAACCCUACAAAUAAUGAAGCGAUAAAAUUGUAUGCAUGCUCGAAUUGAAGAGAAGUACAAACGUGUACUUCAAUACAUGUAUAUAUAAUAAGAAAGAAGUGGUAGUUUGACCUUGAAAAGUCAAACUGCAGAACUUGACAAAUAAUUAAUUAUAAGCCGUAGGAGUACUAGGGAAGAGAGGAAAGGUGUAAUGUAGUACGCCAAAUAAGUUAAAGAAUUGCGAAAGAAUGGUUAUGUAUUGACCCGUCGUGAACGGGUCAAUCAAUGAAAAAGAUACGUUAAGAAAUGGUCACGUAUUGACUCGUUUUGAACGGGUCAGGCACACUAAUGUUUUAAAAAGAAUCUAGAAAGGAUUAAUAUGUAAACAAGGUGAUGUAACAAACGUCAUGUUUGAAUGAAUUUGAAUGAAAUGUGCGUGUAUGAGUAAGAAGGAUGCAAUAAAACUCUAGGUAUAAAUGAAACCAUUUGAACUAGUGUUAGCAGUGAAAUGUAUUAGUAGGAUAAUAUGAACACCAUUUUCCUGUAAUGUAAAUCAUGGUGUUGGACUCUUUAGAUUAAUGCAAGUUUGCACACUUUAGAUAAGUACGAUAAUGUGAUGAGUUGAAAAUUUAAGAAGAAGUGAUAAAGUACGGAAAUGUGAAGUAUGUGUAGUUGACUGGUUACGAACGGGUCAAGGUGAUGUAGAAAGCAUAAUAAGAGAAUUGUAUAAAUAAGUGACUCAUUGUAACGGGUCGCAAUGGAUGAAAUUAUGAUGAUGAUGAUGAAAUGGUAUGUAUUGACCCGUUAUGGACGGGUCGAUUAAGACAACACAUAAUGGGCUAUCAUAAUAGUCAAAACCUUAACCCUAUAUGAACAGGUUGGGUGGACUAUAUGUUUGAUUUAAAGAAAUGUUGUACUUAAAACUAGGACAUUACUAAUGAAUAAAUGAUGAAGCAGGUUUCGGGGACGAAACCCUCUUUAAGAGGGGUAGACUUGUAACACCCCAAAAAAUUUGUAAGUCAUAAUAUAAAAUUUUUAUAUUAUGUUGACGCAAUUAGAAAAGAAAAUGGUAAAUAUAAUUUUACCAUAUGAAAGUAAAUAAGAUACUAGUAAGUAUAUGUGGGUAAGUAAGAUAUUGUAAAUAACCAAGUUAACUAAGUUAGAGGAUGGAUGAAAAUAGUCAUGUUAUGAGAAAUAAAUGGGUUAGUUAUGUUAAAAAUGAAAGAAAGUUUGAUUAAACAAGGAAAAAAAAUGCAGAAUUUUCAUAAGUAAGUAGGUAUGUGUCGUGGGGUUGAAAGGGGAUUUAGGGUUCUCACCUAAAUCCAUCAUCAACACAAGAAUUCUGCAUAAAUUGGGGUGAUUUGAGCUGGAAAUCGAGUGCAUGAGACAUCAUCUACACUUGUCUAAGUGUCCUUGAGGUAAGGAACGUGUCAAGGAGAGCUCAAGCAUAGGAGGAUAACAGGUCAAGAUAAGGCAAGGUGACAAAUACACUUAUUGGAGUGCUCAAGGUAAGUGAUUUCCAGAAUCACUUCUUAUCUUAUAAAUAAAGUUUUGAUAUGUUAAACGUAGGAAAUCAUGUGAGAAAUUAUGAGAAGGAGCAAGUACUAAGGUAUAUAUUAAUGAGGUAAGUCGUAAGAAGUUAUUUGUGCUUGGAAUUACAAGAUAGAAGGGAACGGGUCAAUAAUAAAGAAAGAAACAUGGCGUAAUGUGGUAGUUAGUUUGAUCAUGUGGUUAUACGUUAGAAAGAUUUAGGAGUUUGUAUAUGAUUAUUUUACAUAUUGGAAGCGUGAAAAACGGAGAAGAAAGAAGUUCGGGUGUCUAACGGUUGUAUACGAAUGUAAAAAUAGAGAAAAAAGGUUGGCUGAACUAGGCUCUACCGUAGCUUACGGUAGCCACCGUAAGCAACGGUAGGUACUGAUGGUCAUUUCUCCACCGUAAGGCAGUAUAAAGGCACCGUAGGCUUUUGUGUGCCACCGUAAGCUACGGUAGUCACCGUAGCUUACGUGGAGGUCAGGUUCAGAUGUAAAGUUUGUGUAUAUUCAUUUUCUUUGAAUUUGGACCCCGAGAACCCAUUUCAAGUCCCGUUAAACUUCUAUAAUGUACCUUAACCCUAUUAAAUGGCUUGGUGAGUUAAGGAUGAAUAUAUAACUCAUUUUAAGAUUUCCGCAAUGUACCCGAAAGUUAUUUAAAAAGCGUUUAUGAAUUGCGAGUAAUAAUGGAAUGUGUAAGCGAGUAUGUGGAGGAAUGAAUUAAGUAUGUGGGUAUAUAUGUAUAGGAUUAAUUUCAUACCAAUAGCCGGGACUUAUAAUAAUCAUGAAUAGAAGUGAGUAUGCACGUAGGUUUGUAUGUACGUGACCUAUUUAUAUGGAAGUUGUAAUUAGGAUACAUUAGCAAAUCAUUUGGAAUGAUGUAAGUGGAAUGUAAGAGCUUGUACGUAUGUAUGUUAACACUCGUACUUUAGUCCUAUCUUGUAACGCUUCGUGCUUAUGUGAAAUAUAUUAUUUAAGGAUGUGUUUAUUAUGUGCAUUGUGUAAUAUGUGUAUGUAUGUAUGUUAAUCGAGCCCAAACCACACAAACCGCACAACCAUCACUCGAUCGCACAUGGCCAUUGGGCCAUAUUGUUUGCACACGGACCAAAAGGGCAGCCCAUGAUUGGGUUCGGCCCACCCAUCUUACACGCAUAACACUUGGUGUGUUUGUAAUCCUCUCAUAUUUGCAAAACACUAUCACACACAAAACCCUAGCUCUCCUCUCUCUCUCUCUCUCUCUCACGAACCGAAGGCAGCCAAACAUCAUCCUCAUCGAAGUUCAUAGGGUUCGGACCAUUCUGUUGUUCGGAU